rnacentral:misc_RNA from 1 species
UCGCGGCUUAUCACCGGCAGUCUCCUUAGAGUGCUCAACUAAAUGGUAGCAACUAAGGACGGGGGUUGCGCUCGUUGCGGGACUUAACCCAACAUCUCACGACACGAGCUGACGACAGCCAUGCACCACCUGUGAUCUUGCCCCGAAGGGAGACUCUGUUUCCAGAGCUGUCAAGAACAUGUCAAGCCCAGGUAAGGUUCUUCGCGUUGCGUCGAAUUAAACCACAUGCUCCGCUGCUUGUGCGGGUCCCCGUCAAUUCCUUUGAGUUUUAGCCUUGCGGCCGUACUCCCCAGGCGGGGCACUUAAUGCGUUAGCUUCGGCACGGAGGGAGUCGACACCCCCCACACCUAGUGCCCAUCGUUUACAGCGUGGACUAC